UCAGUUGGCUUAUAAUUGAAGUCUAGUAUGAAUGGGAACUCGGGGAUAUUCUGUCUUUUAUUUACGAUUUGAAAUUACUAAUUAAGUGAAAAUUCUUAACCUUUCGAAAAAAGACGAGAAGACCCUAGAAAUUUUUAUUAUAUAUUUUGUUGGGGCGACAAGGUAACAUAAAACUUACCUAUGCAAUAGGAAAUUUUUUAGUUGGGUAAAUAAAUUACUCUAGGGAUAACAGCAUAAUAUUUUAAAGUUUGUGACCUCGAUGUUGGACUAGGAAAUACCCUACU
rnacentral:rRNA from 1 species